rnacentral:rRNA from 1 species
CCUACGGGAGGCAGCAGUGCGGAAUUUUGGACAAUGGUCGCAAGUCUGAUCCAGCCAUUCCGCGUGCAGGAUGAAGGCCCUCGGGUAGUAAACUGCUUUUGUACGGAACGAAAAGGUUUCCAUUAAUACUGGGAGCUCAUGACGGUACGGUAAGAAUAAGCACCGGCUAACUACGUGCCAGCAGCCGCGGUAAUACGUAGGGUGCAUGCGUUAAUGGGAAUUACUGGGCGUAAAGCGUGCGCAGGCGGUUAUGUAAGACAGAGGUGAAAUGCCCGGGCUCAACCUGGGAACUGCCUUUGUGACUGCAUAGCUAGAGUACGCUAGAGGGGGAUGGAAUUGCGCGUGUAGCAGUGAAAUGCGUAGAUAUGCGGAGGAACACGGAUGGCGAAGGCAAUCCCCUGGACCUGUACUGACGCUCAUGCACGAAAGCGAGGGGAGCAAACAGGAUUAGAUACCCUGGUAGUCCACGCCCUAAACGAUGUCAACUGGUUGUUGGGUCUUCACUGACUCAGUAACGAAGCUAACGCGUGAAGUUGACC